CUUUAGGAUGGACCCGCGGUGCAUUAGUUAGUUGGUGAGGUAAAGGCUCACCAAGACCGUGAUGCAUAGCCGACCUGAGAGGGUAAUCGGCCACACUGGGACUGAGACACGGCCCAGACUCCUACGGGAGGCAGCAGUAGGGAAUCUUCCACAAUGGACGAAAGUCUGAUGGAGCAACGCCGCGUGAGUGAAGAAGGUUUUCGGAUCGUAAAACUCUGUUGUUGGAGAAGAAUGUAUCUGAUAGUAACUGAUCAGGUAGUGACGGUAUCCAACCAGAAAGCCACGGCUAACUACGUG
rnacentral:rRNA from 1 species